rnacentral:rRNA from 1 species
GACGAACGCUGGCGGCGUGCUUAACACAUGCAAGUCGAACGGAAAGGCCCUGCUUUUGUGGGGUGCUCGAGUGGCGAACGGGUGAGUAACACGAGAGUAACCUGCCCUUGACUUUGGGAGAACUUCAGGAAACUGGGGCUAAUACCGGAUAGGAGCUCCUGCUGCAUGGUGGGGGUUGGAAAGUUUCGGCGGUUGGGGAUGGACUCGCGGCUUAUCAGCUUGUUGGUGGGGUAGUGGCUUACCAAGGCUUUGACGGGUAGCCGGCAUGAGAGGGUGACCGGCCACAUUGGGCCUGAGAUACGGCCCAGACUCCUACGGGAGGCAGCAGUGGGGAAUAUUGCACAAUGGGCGCAAGCCUGAUGCAGCAACGCCGCGUGCGGGAUGACGGCCUUCGGGUUGUAAACCGCUUUCGCCUGUGACGAAGCGUGAGUGACGGUAAUGGGUAAAGAAGCACCGGCUAACUACGUG